rnacentral:pre_miRNA from 1 species
AAGGACUGCAGUUUUGUACCGUACAUGUCCAAUGUUUGACCGUCCAUCUUAUUUGAAAAAAAAAUAUGAUUAGUAUUUUUGUUAUUAUUAGAUGAUAAAACAUGAAUAGUAAUUUAUUUUUGACUAUUUUUUUAAAAAAAAUUAUAACUUUUUAAAUAAGACGAACAGUCCCACGUAAAUAAACAACUACACUUAAA